UGCGCGUAGCUUUAGUCCACUUUCUCUCCUGAUUUCCUCCAUUGAGUUUUUUAGGCAUACUGUGAGAUUUCUAUCUCUUCCAUUGAAGUGUGCUCAAGUAUUCUCUCCUCCUAAAGCAUGCAAUGAAAUUCGGAUUUCGGAGGGCAUGCCAAUAACCAUCUUUUUCCAUUGUCUGGUGGUUCAUUGCAAUUUCCUUGCCGUUAAGAUUCUCCAUUGAAGCGGCUUUUGUUCUUUCUCCUCCAUUGAAGCAGAUUCAGUGGUAAUUGCGGCUUUAGUCUCAUUAUCGGUUCCUUUUAAUCGCGGCUUUCGGGAUUUCUCUCCUCCAUUUGAAACAAAUUUUGAGAUGGUCGUCGGGGUUUCCUUUUCUUCAACCAAUCCCGGCGGCUGACUCAAGUGCCCCCCGAACUGCACGAAAACCAUCAUCUCAGAAUGGAUGAGUGAAUUAUUGGGUUCGAAUUGAAAUUAGGUGCUUAUACCACUACUUAGACCCAACUAUAAUGUCGAAGUCUUCUUCCGCCACCUCAAGAGACAUCCAGUUGACUCCACUUUUGGGUUUAUUUACUUUCUGAAUGUCAAGUUGGGUGGAUUCCUUCGGUUGUGACAAGCUGCCUAGCAUAUGCACUCUUGAUAUGAGGUUUUCAUAUGGUUUUUGUUGACCCCGAGGAGGGGAUAUGGGCAUGGGAGCUCGAUGGAUUGAAGGAUCUGUAUACUUAUUUGCAUUUCGUUUGGGAAUUGAACAAUUUGCAGGUGCUUAUACCACUACUUAUACCCAACUACAAUGUUGAAGUCUUCUUCCGCCAUCUCAAAAGACACUCCAGUUGACUCCACUUUUGGGUUUGUAAGUCAAUGUCAUUUUCUUAACAAGCUAACAAAAAUGCAAUUGUAUAUUUAUAAUAUUGGCUAAUGAAGUGACUCUGGUCCUUUCUUAUGAUUGUUUCAUUUGUUGGCUUUAUUCGAUUUCUUAUGUUUAAUGCAGCUCUUUAAAAAUUUAGUAUGUGAGGUUUGUAGCCUUUAGACAAGAUGCUAAAAUUGUUUAACAUGGCUAUAUUGAAGUAUUGAUGGAGUAGUUUGCUUAUAUUUUAUAUUUUUCCUUCGCCAAAUUUACUUUUGGAAUGUCGAGUUGGGUGGAUUCCCUCAGUUGUGACAAGCUGCCUAGCAUGGGCACUCUUGAUAGGAGGUUUUCAUAUGGUUUUUAUCAACCCCGAGGAGGGGAUAUGUGCAUGGGGGCUCCGAUGAAUUGAAGGAAGCAAGUGCAGCAUAUUAACAGAGACGUCCGCAUUUGAGGACUAUACAGUCUGAAUACUGAACGAUAAACAGUUGCUGAUUUGUUGGAUUCUGGUUUUGUACUAUCUCAACUUUCUUAGUGGGGCAUAACAACCUUAUAUCCGGUUACUCUUUAUCCAACUUACUAACAAAAAACUGUGAAGCUAUAAAGUGUGCUUAGCAUCUCCAUUUUAUUUGACGAACCUUGUACCAAUGCACUUGUGUCUGCAUUCAGAGGAUGCGACUCCCAUCCCAAUAGCCAGUACUCAUAGAAAGGGAGGCAUUAAAGGAGGAGGCUGUGAAUGAUCUUGUUUCAAUACUGCUGCUAUUAAUGUUGUGCUUUACUGCUACCUAACCUUUAGCAUUUUUUUUAUUUUUUUAUUUUUUUUUUAUUUUUUAAUGAAAUUGUAAUAUUUUCAAUCAUUUAUUAAUAAAAAUCUCUAAGUUUAUACAUACUUAUAUAUAAAAUCGUUUGUUUAUCAA